UAAAGCUUUUUGCUGAUGGUCCU
rnacentral:siRNA from 1 species